AGCCCAGAGGACCCGGUGCACUGGGGUGCGGGCGCUCCCGCACGCACGCGGCGGGCUGGGUGGCGCGCGCUUCCCCUCCCCCCGCGGCCCCAGAGCGCGAACUGUGACGUCACGGACCUCCCGCCGGCCCCGCUCUCCACCGGGCCGAGCGCGUGCGGCCGCCGAGCACAUGGGCCCUUGGGCUGUGCGCGCUCUGGGCGGCCUGGACCCGGAGGAACAGCAGGGGCCGGGAGCGAGGAUGGGCCCUGGUACCCCUCGGCACCCCCCCGGAGUGGAGCUCCACGCGGAAAGGAUGUUGGCGGCCCCGGUGACAUGGCUUGGAUCCACCUUCCAAUAAGGAAACUGAAGCCUCAGAGAUAUCCAGUACUAAGCCCAAGGUCACGCAGCUGGCCUGAUCUUAUGACCAGAAAGGAAUGAAAAGGACACCCUUCCGGACUGAUGGCCAUCCCUGUCCACUGCAUGGAGCGUCCUUCAAGGAUUUCCUGAGCCGUGUGGAUUUACAAUGAUAUUCAGCUGCCUGGGGAAUCACGCCGGUGCAGGAACCUUCCCUGGAAUUACGCACACCCGGCACGUUUCUGGAUGCCGAAGGUGGUGGGAAGCAAGGUCCCCGCGGAGUGCUUUGUGGAUUCCUGCAGCCCGGAUGCUCGAGGGGGAUGGAGGACCACAGCUUCCUGUGCAGGCUGAGCUCUUACCUCGGACAGGAAUGUUUGGUCGGGUCUUUCCAGGCCCCCGUGGGGGCUCCCUAGGAAACAAUCCUGUUACCUGGAAUGUAGGUGCCUUUAAUCUGGGGAAAAAAAGAAAAACCCAACACGUGUCCAUUCAACACUCCGGAGGGAUGUGAGAACUGGCCUUCCCUGAACUGAAAUUGUAAUGCCUUGAGAUCUGGACAAUUCAGUGUGGCGUGGUGAACUGAUGACAUGGCCCCGGCUCUUCAGCCGCUCCCUGCUUCUCUGAUGCUGGACUGGAGUACAGGACUUGCUUUGUCCACGGGGGCAUUAACAGACACAUUGCAAGCAGAACUUUGACAAAGCAUUUCCAUUUGCACUGUUGGACUUCCGCCGUCACCAAGAGAAGGACGUUCUGAGCUAGCGUUCCGGCUCCCGGAGAAGGAUGAGAGACACAUAGAACAUAACGAUGGUGCUCUAAUCCUCCGAGGGAGACCAGCCUAGACCAGCUGACCGCCAGCCACUCCUAGACCCCUGAGUGAGCCCAGCCAAGAUCAUCUGAGCUGCCUGCCUGGCCACCCAAGUGCAUGGACACUUAGUGCUUGUGCCGCUGAGGUUUUGUUGUUACAUGGCAUUUUUAAGUGAUAAAUGCAAUGGGAAUAUCAAGAAUAACUAUUUGAUGACUUGAAUUCUCCAAGGCGGGGGUUACCUGGCCCUCAGUGUAUUGUUUGCUAUAUCAGGUCCCUUUUGUUGAGUGAUUGGCCAACAAGGACAAAUCUGGUAGCCCCUCUGUGAAUGCACUCAGCACCUGACCUUGCCUGCUUCCUCUGCUCAUGAACAUCUCUCUGUUCAGCUGGGAUGGCUGCUUAUCCCCAUCCACUGGGUUUUCUGUUACAGCAGAGGUGCCGUUUGUUGGACAAGUACAGAGUGAGUGAGGCAGCGAAUGGGAGAGAGAGAAAGUCUGCAUGUGUGUGCAUGUGUGUUGGGGAGUGGAGUAGCUGAAGUCCUAGCUUUGAACAGAACUGUAGUUUCUGCUGAUCUACUGAAUAACUUGGGUCUUAACCCGCAA